rnacentral:tRNA from 1 species
GCAGAUAUAAGCCUAAUUGGUAAGGCAGUGGUCCUGAAAACCACAAGUAGCCGGAAACGGUGUUUCGGUUCAAGUCCGAAUAUCUGCG